GAAUCUUGCGCAAUGGGCGAAAGCCUGACGCAGCCAUGCCGCGUGAAUGAUGAAGGUCUUAGGAUUGUAAAAUUCUUUCACCGGGGAAGAUAAUGACGGUACCCGGAGAAGAAGCCCCGGCUAACUUCGUGCCAGCAGCCGCGGUAAUACGAAGGGGGCUAGCGUUGCUCGGAAUUACUGGGCGUAAAGGGCGCGUAGGCGGAUAUUUAAGUCAGGGGUGAAAGCCCGGGGCUCAACCUCGGAAUUGCCUUUGAUACUGGAUAUCUUGAGUUCGGGAGAGGUGAGUGGAAUGCCGAGUGUAGAGGUGAAAUUCGUAGAUAUUCGGCGGAACACCAGUGGCGAAGGCGGCCUGCUGGGCAGUGUCUGACGCUGAGGCGCGACAGCGUGGGGAGCAAACAG
rnacentral:rRNA from 1 species